GUUAUAACUUAAUUCUAGUUGAUGAAGUUUGUGAUACCCUUAUCUAGUUGGGUUCUUGUUCAUAUCAAGAUACAUCUAUUUAACUCAAACCAAUCAUUUACCUUUGUUUUGACUGCCAGCUUGGACAAGCUCUUAGCAUAAACCAGUUAUCGAGGAUUGCUUAGGUUUCAGAUUUAGUGUGAUAGCGUGGCUCCUAUUCAGCCUCCUUUUGCUCGACUCGUGACACCUGGGUUUCGGAUUUAUUCCUUGAAGCUGGACACUAACGAUUGUCAAAAAUCCAUGUGGAGCUAAGGUAAUUGAUGAGAAGAUUCAGUCCUUUAAUUUAUAAAAAAAUUAAGGCAGAGAUUAAAAGCCACGGAUUCACAACAGGCAGGGGUUAAUGUUCUAGUAGCUGGAUACUUAACUGGGAAAUAUAAGGAGGUCGGAUGUUUAUUUGGGAAAGAUAAUGUGAACGGUCACGCCUCGAGGAAGAAGUUGUGGAUGAACAUGUUCCUGUUCAGCCAAGUCUAAAUGAAACAUAAUGUGAAAUAUAAGGAGGUCGGAUGCUUAUUUGGGAAACAUAAUAUGAACGGUCACACCUCGAGGAAGAAGUUGUGGAUGAACGUGUUCCUGUUCAGCCAAGUCCAAAUGAAACAUGCCUUUAUCCAAAACUAGAUCAUUCUGCAACCCAAGAGGAAAAGAAAUCGUAUGCUUUAACUGUGUGAUUAUGUUAACUAAACGUUCUACAUACACUUUAUUUUAUGUAUAAGCAUUUGGUAAAAUUGACUCGAUUUAUGUAUUUAUGUGAUGUGAUUUUAUAUAUAUUUAGUGAUUUUUAUGAGUA
rnacentral:lncRNA from 1 species